CUGUCAGUAGAGAGAAAAAUGAAAACAAUGGGUUCUGCCUAUACAGAGUUAUCCUCCUGUUAGCGGUGGCACCCAACAGGCUUAAACAGGGCAAGUUUUAAACAUGUUUUUAGCCUCUAAACCUGUUCAAAAUGUCAUUAAAAAUGCCUACCCAUGUGCAUUGAUUCCUUCGUAAAGAAGACAGUGAAUCUGACUGCCGUAGAUGGGACAGAAAGGCAUAAAAGUUGUGAUAAUUCAUACCUCUGUUUAUUUCCUGUUUUCCGGUGAAGUCUACACUAGUUGAUUGUCGAACUCAUACAAUUCAACAUUCCAAAAUUUAUAAAAAUAAAAAUAAAAUGAUCACC